AACCUUUUGCCCCACUCUGCUACUGCUGACACAUCUCAGCUGCAGUGCUGUGGUUCUCAAGACAUUCAGUUAUCCUUUGUGGAGCUGGAUUAAUUCAUUAGCUUGUACCAGCUCAUAUCAAGAGCUUGAAGUUGAUGUCUUAAUGUCAGCUUCUGCAGAGGGAUAAGAAAUAAGCUUGGAUUGCCUUUCACUGCUGUCCCCUUCUGGACAGACAGCAAAGAAGAGCAGGCAUGGCACAAUAUCCCAUCUGUCAUCAUUGUAGACCUCCACUGUGGUGAAAAAGUCUGAAGUCAGCCCUGUUGAGGCACAGACCAGUAGGAUAACACUCACCCAAAUCUUCUCUUGUUCCAAGGAGGUUCCAGAUGAGAAGGACCCAACUUCUCUGAGGACUUUUCACGCACAGAUUUUGCAUAGCAGUUCUGAGAGACAAGGCUGAGGAAUGACAAGAGAAGUGGGACUUUUCCUGAAGUGACAAUCAUUUACAGAUCACUGUUUUCCAUCAAGUGAACAGUGGAAGGGAAGACACGUUUCUUAUUUAAAUGAAGCAUGACCGCUAGUUUGAUCUGUAACCAAAUUGUAUUCUGUACUGUUUUCUUUCUCUUGUUUCGUUCUUUUUUUUCACAAGUCUGCAUAAACAUACAGAUUUUUGGCAGUUUUAAACUAUAUGUCUAGGCACUUUUUUGAGCUGUUAAUGAUGUAUGAUUUCUGUGCUCGCGCCUGGAAAUCCACACAGUCAAGAAAAUUAUGCAAGUUUUAUGAAAUGUGUAAUUGGAAAUUAAAGACCAGUGGGUUGGUAUUUAAUCAAAAUCAGUAUUGAGCUGUAUUUAGCCCCUUGAAAAUUCUUCCUAUUAUUUCUUUCAGACUGUGUUGCAAAACAGAAAUGACAUUUAAAGAUCUUUCACAAAUAGCUGUAGCCUUUUGUGCAAUUAGAGUACGGUUAAAUUGCUCUGUUUGCUUUUGCUAUAGUCAAAUUUUCCAUUUUUGACCAGCAAAGACCAAGCUAGUUUAUGUAAUUGUUUAGAAUUGCCUUGCUUAAUUGAUCUGCUUCUCUGACAACCGUUUGUCUUUAGGGAUUACGCUUGUUCUGCCACUAAACCUCUAUCCGUUUAUUGCUGAAUGUCCUGUACAAAGAUAGCUAACCUAAAGCAAUCAACUUGAAACAUGUUCUUAAAAAUAUUACCUUCCAAUUCAUGUCAUGAACAUUUAUGUAAGCCAUAAGUCUUGAAUGGGUUUGAUAAAGCUAAUUCCCAGAGCUAUAAAAUAUGCAGGAAAGAUGUUAUGCAUUCAGAAACCACUGUUCCAGCUUUUAAACUGAAAUGGCAUCAGCUCACAUAUUGGCACAUGCACAAACAUCCCAGAUGCUGCUAUAUUAUUCAUAAUUAGGACUACAUUUUUUUUUCAGUGAUUUUGUUAUAGUAUGGUAAUUCACGUACACAGAAACAUAAACAUGAAGGUAAAUUGAUUCCUAAAUAACACUUAAUUUAUCAAUACAUGUUUCUAAGUGGGUUUUGCAAUUGUAUUUACCAUUGCUAUCUAAAAGAUUUAGAGGUAGCUAGAGAUUUUUCUGCUCACAGAAGAGCAUAACAACAAUGAAUUCCACUCAGAAACAGCAAAGGCAACACAGUUGCCACACUGUUGUCUAAUCAUUGACCAUAUAGUUUAUCAAUGUUUUAUGAUAUCUGAGCACAUAAUAGCUGGAAAUACGUACUCUCUGCUACUCUUCUCUCAAGAGUAAGCAAGGGGUUAUAACAAUCCAUAAGAUUAGGAGCCUAAACCAUGAGAGCAAAACUGGAGGGAAUAAGUGAGCCAUUGCUUAUUUCAAUGUGAUAUUACAAUUGGUUUUGCAAAUUUAGCCUGCUGAGGUGGACAAAAUAUCUUGACACUCAGAGAUGGCUCAGCAAGCCUCCUUCUAAGCUUUAAGAACAGAAAUACAUAGGAUCUAUGAAAGUGCAAAAUCGCUUUGAUGAUGUGAAAGCAAGCUGUCGAAAUAAAAGUUGUUCUGACCCCCUCGCUACAGCAGCAUUUGCCUUUGGUGCCUGUUCUAAUAAAAGA
ensembl:lncRNA